UUAAUUAUUAAUCAUGUACCAGUGUUUUAUAGCAAAUGUAACCAAAAAAUGUCCCACAUUAUAUGUCCCAGGUUAUAAUUUUUUGCAUUGUCAGCGAUACCAGACGCACAUUCACACACACAAUGGAAACAUGAACAGCUAGACGUGCUAAUGAAACGUAAAAUACUACUGCUUUUACUACUGUUGAUGUUUGGUGCAGCCAUCUUGCGUUCUGAACUUGUGGGUUUAUUCCAGUUGAAAUGUUCUACUUAGAACUUGGAAAUUUCCAGUUCUGAAUUCCUACUUCAGAUGGAAUGCAGUAUAAGGAUUCACAUUAGAGCUCGACCCAACCUGCCCCAUACACUGUCAUUUUGAGCCAAAGCCCGAAUUAAACCUGACAUUUUUUGACCAACCCACUCGUUAGGACUCCCCCUAUCACUAGUAAUGCCCCAACACACCAGGAGGAUGAAGACUAGCACACUCUUUCUCCGAUACAUGUGAAGUCAGCCACCGCUUCUUUUCGAGCUGCUGCUGAUGCAGCAUUGCCAAGGAGCCAGCACAUUUGGAGGAAAGCGCAGCGGCAGGUGAACCCGAGGAACCUGAGGAAAGUGGUGGGAAAUCUCGAGCCAGGUCAGACCUUGGGUUGGGUUUGGGCAGAGAACCUAAGCUCUUAUUCACAUAUUGAACUUUGUGUUAUUGUGUUCUCAGUGACAUGUUGAACUACACUGCCAGUUUGAGGGAAUGUCAUUGCCAUCAAAUUCAGAAGGUGAACCACAUGACUCCUCAGAGGUGCAGAGCUUCUCUCAGCUUAA